rnacentral:rRNA from 1 species
GACGAACGCUGGCGGCGUGCUUAACACAUGCAAGUCGAGCGGUAAGGCCCUUUCGGGGGUACACGAGCGGCGAACGGGUGAGUAACACGUGGGUGACCUGCCCUCAGCUCUGGGACUAAGCCUGGGAAACUGGGUCUAAUACUGGAUAUGACUCCACGGUGCAUGUCGUGGGGUGGAAAGCCUUGUGCGGCUGAGGAUGGGCCCGCGGCCUAUCAGCUUGUUGGUGGGGUGAGGCCUACCAAGGCGACGACGGGUAGCCGGCCUGAGAGGGCGACCGGCCACACUGGGACUGAGACACGGCCCAGACUCCUACGGGAGGCAGCGAGUGGGGAAUCUUGCGCAAUGGGCGAAAGCCUGACGCAGCGACGCCGCGUGAGGGAUGACGGCCUCGG